UGGUGGGUAGUUUGACUGGGGCGGUCUCCUCCCAAAGCGUAACGGAGGAGCACGAAGGUUAGCUAAUCCUGGUCGGACAUCAGGAGGUUAGUGCAAUGGCAUAAGCUAGCUUGACUGCGAGCGUGACGGCGCGAGCAGGUGCGAAAGCAGGUCAUAGUGAUCCGGUGGUUCUGAAUGGAAGGGCCAUCGCUCAACGGAUAAAAGGUACUCCGGGGAUAACAGGCUGAUACCGCCCAAGAGUUCAUAUCGACGGCGGUGUUUGGCACCUCGAUGUCGGCUCAUCACAUCCUGGGGCUGAAGUAGGUCCCAAGGGUAUGGCUGUUCGCCAUUUAAAGUGGUACGCGAGCUGGGUUUAGAACGUCGUGAGACAGUUCGGUCCCUAUCUGCCGUGGGCGCUGGAGAAUUGAGGGGGGCUGCUCCUAGUACGAGAGGACCGGAGUGGACGCAUCACUGGUGUU
rnacentral:rRNA from 2 species